rnacentral:rRNA from 1 species
UUUAUGGAGAGUUUGAUCCUGGCUCAGGAUGAACGCUGGCGGCGUGCCUAAUACAUGCAAGUCGAGCGAACGGACGAGAAGCUUGCUUUUCUGAUGUUAGCGGCGGACGGGUGAGUAACACGUGGAUAACCUACCUAUAAGACUGGGAUAACUUCGGGAAACCGGAGCUAAUACCGGAUAAUAUUUUGAACCGCAUGGUUCAAAAGUGAAAGACGGUCUUGCUGUCACUUAUAGAU